rnacentral:rRNA from 1 species
GGCGGCGUGCUUAACACAUGCAAGUCGAACGCUGAAGCACCAGCUUGCUGGUGUGGAUGAGUGGCGAACGGGUGAGUAAUACGUGAGUAACCUGCCCUUGACUCUGGGAUAAGCCCGGGAAACUGGGUCUAAUACUGGAUGCUACAUGUCACCGCAUGGUGGUGUGUGGAAAGGGUUUACUGGUCUUGGAUGGGCUCACGGCCUAUCAGCUUGUUGGUGAGGUAAUGGCUCACCAAGGCGACGACGGGUAGCCGGCCUGAGAGGGUGACCGGCCACACUGGGACUGAGACACGGCCCAGACUCCUACGGGAGGCAGCAGUGGGGAAUAUUGCACAAUGGGCGAAAGCCUGAUGCAGCGACGCCGCGUGAGGGAUGACGGCCUUCGGGUUGUAAACCUCUUUCAGCAGGGAAGAAGCCACAAGUGACGGUACCUGCAGAAGAAGCGCCGGCUAACUACGUGCCAGCAGCCGCGGUAAU